UACGGAGGAUCCGAGCGUUAUCCGGAUUUAUUGGGUUUAAAGGGUGCGCAGGCGGGAGAUUAAGUCGGCGGUGAAAUUUUGCAGAUCAACUGUAAAAGUGCCUUCGAAACUGGUUUCCUUGAGUGUGGAUGAAGUAGGCGGAAUUUGUGGUGUAGCGGUGAAAUGCAUAGAUAUCACGGGGAACUCCGAUUGCGCAGGCAGCUUACUAAGCCAUAACUGACGCUCAGGCGCGAAAGCGUGGGGAGCAAACAGGAUUAGAUACCCUGGUA
rnacentral:rRNA from 1 species